AUUGAACGCUGGCGGCAGGCCUAACACAUGCAAGUCGAACGAGUGGCGGACGGGUGAGUAAUGUCUGGGAAACUGCCCGAUGGAGGGGGAUAACUACUGGAAACGGUAGCUAAUACCGCAUACCAUCGGAUGUGCCCAGAUGUGAUUAGCUAGUAGUGGGGGUAACGGCUCACCUAGGCGACGAUCCCUAGCUGGUCUGAGAGGAUGACCAGCAACACGGGAACUGAGAAACGGUCCAGACGCUUACGGGAGGAAGCAGUGGGGAAUAGGGCACAAUGGGCGCAAGCCUGAUGCAGCCAUGCGGCGUGUAUGAAGAAGGCCUUCGGGUUGUAAGGUACUUUCAGCGAGGAGGCGUUACGCGCAGAAGAAGCACCGGCUAACUCCGUGCCAGCCGCCGCGGUAAUUC
rnacentral:rRNA from 1 species